AUUGAACGCUGGCGGCAGGCCUAACACAUGCAAGUCGAGCGGUAACAGAAAGAAAGCUUGCUUUCUUUGCUGACGAGCGGCGGACGGGUGAGUAAUGCCUGGGAAUAUACCCUGAUGUGGGGGAUAACUAUUGGAAACGAUAGCUAAUGCCGCAUAAUCUCUUCGGAGCAAAGAGGGGGACCUUCGGGCCUCUCGCGUCAGGAUUAGCCCAGGUGGGAUUAGCUAGUUGGUGGGGUAAUGGCUCACCAAGGCGACGAUCCCUAGCUGGUCUGAGAGGAUGAUCAGCCACACUGGAACUGAGACACGGUCCAGACUCCUACGGGAGGCAGCAGUGGGGAAUAUUGCACAAUGGGGGAAACCCUGAUGCAGCCAUGCCGCGUGUAUGAAGAAGGCCUUCGGGUUGUAAAGUACUUUCAGUUGUGAGGAAGGCGUUGGAGUUAAUAGCUUCAGCGCUUGACGUUAGCAACAGAAGAAGCACCGGCUAACUCCGUG
rnacentral:rRNA from 1 species